AAAGAUGUGUACAUGGCAAACUGUCUUUUAGAAAAGCUACAUCAAUCUGUGCCCCCAACAGCAGUGAGCCAGUUUACCCUCCCGAUUCACAGCAUUAAGUGUUCUCCAUCUUUAAUCACUACCUGUAGAUCUAGGGUCAGCAAAACUAACACUCUCGGGCCAAAUCCAGUCAGCAUCUUUAGGGUUGUAGGGAAAAAAAAUGGUAAUGAAGAAUGUGUGACCAAAACUAUAUGUGGCCCACAAAAGGGAACAUUUCUAUUAUCUUAGCUGUUCACAGAAAAAAAAAAAAAAAAUGCCAGCUCCUGGAUUAAAGGAAAAAUUGUCUUUACUCUUGGUAAUAUUAGCUUUUCUUUACUUAUCUGUGAGUUCAAGUAGACUUUCCAUGUACAUGUGGGUGGUGUUUAUAUUUCUUCUUUUGUCAAUUACACCUCCUUUACCCACUGUCCUAUUAAGUCGCUCAUCUUUUUUACUCAUUAUAAUGCUAUGUAUUAGAAUAUGUGUAUUUUGUCAUGUAUUUCACAAGUAUUUUUCUCCGUGUCAAUUUGCUAUUAAGUAUGUAUCUUUUAUAUUGAACAGAAAGGUUUAGUGUUUAUGCAGUCAACACAAAUGUUCAGAGAAUGAUAGCAGGUGCUACUUUAGAUAUGGUAGUGAAAGAAGUUCUCUCUGACAAGGUGACAUUUGAGCAGAGAACUGAAUUAAAAGUGAGAGAGGAAGCCAUUCAUAUAUAUGGAUGAAGGGGAAUCCAGGCCAUGUGAACAGCAAAUGCACAGGCCCCAAGACCACCUGGGGAGGUUUGUUUUGGAGACCCUGACACGCGACGGAUGAAUGAAAUACACUUUUGUACACCAGAGUAUAGUGAAUUUGAGUGGGCUAGGGAGGUUGUUAGCUGCUUUUAGAGGGUGAUUGCCCCUAACCGACCACAACGUUUUUUUUUUAAUUUAGUAUAGAUUUAAUAAUAGAAGUUUUAAGUUAGCAUGUUUGUGGAUAAUUAAUAUGGUUAAAAGAAUGGUUUUAUGAAUGAUAACAGGUUUUGGUUUGGGGCUUUAGAAUAAACACCAUUAAUGGGUAAUUUUUUUUUUAACCUUUUUUUGAGAGGGCUAUUUAGCAUAAAGUUUACAUGAGUAAACAAAUUAGAGUAGGGAUAAAGGAAUGUGGGGUAAACAGACUUAACUUGGGAAGCUUUUAUUAUUUUAAUUUUUACCCUAUGACUUAAAGUUUUAAUGUAAGAACUGGCUGCCUUUAGCUUGUUUUAUUAAACAUUUUGGCUUUUCAAAAGGUUUGAGACUAUAUAACUUUUAAAAAUAUUUUUUAAGUAUUUUCCCAGCCACCCCGAGUGAAUCCCAACAGCCAUUCAUAUAUAUGGAUGAAGGGGAAUCCAGACCAUGUGAACAGCAAAUGCAGAGACCCCGAGAUAGGAGCUUUCAUGGCAUGUUGGAGGUACUGCCCACUAUGACUAAAAUGGAGGGAGAUUGGUAGGAGUUGAAAUUAGGUGUGGAAGGAUGAGAUCAUGUAGAGCUGUGUAAGCUAUGAUAAGAACAUAGAUUUUAUUC